rnacentral:lncRNA from 1 species
UUUGUAUUUUUUGUAGAGACAAGUUCUUGCCAUGUUGCCCAGACUAGUCUUGGACUCCUGGGCUCAAGCAAUCUGCGUGCCUCGGCCUCUCAAAGUGCUGGGAUUACAGGCAGGAGCCACUGCACCCUCUUUCUUUCUCUGUCUCUUUCUUUCCCCCCGCCACCACCACCCCCCGACCCGACUUUAGUUUCUUAAUUUGUAACAUGAGCAUAAUAGUAGUACUUACAGAUUUACCGUGAAGGUUAAAUGAGC